rnacentral:rRNA from 1 species
UUAUCCGGAAUGAUUGGGCGUAAAGGGUGCGUAGGCGGCCCGUUAAGUCUGGAGUCAAAGCCGGCAGCUCAACUGUCGUACGCUUUGGAAACUGGCGGGCUGGAGUGCAGAAGAGGGCGAUGGAACUCCAUGUGUAGCGGUAAAAUGCGUAGAUAUAUGGAAGAACACCAGUGGCGAAGGCGGUCGCCUGGUCUGCAACUGACGCUGAAGCACGAAAGCGUGGGGAGCAAAUAGGAUUAGAUACCCUAGUAGUCCACGCCGUAAACGAUGAGAACUAAGUGUUGGGGGAAUAACUCAGUGCUGCAGUUAACGCAAUAAGUUCUCCGCCUGGGGAGUAUGCACGCAAGUGUGAAACUCAA